GACGAACGCCGGAGGCGUGGUUAACACAUGCAAGUCGAACGCAGAGCGAUGGAAGCCUGAUUCUAUCAAUCUUAGUGGGGAACGGGUGAGUAACGCGUAAUCAACCUGCCCUUCAGAGGGGGACAACAGUAGGAAACGACUGCUAAUACCGCCUACGAUCUGACCUCGGCAUAGAGGAAAGAAGAAACGUCGCCUCUAUUUAUAAGCUAUCAAUGAGGGACGGGAUUGCGUUUGAUGAGCUAGUUGGAGGGGUAACGGCCCACCAAGCCGAUGAUCAGUAGCCGGUUUGCGAGGAUGAACGGCCACAUUGGGACUGAGACACGGCCCAGACUCCUACGGGAGGCAGCAGUGGGGAAUCUUCCGCAAUGGACGAAAGUCUGACGGAGCAACGCCGCGUGAGUGAUGACGGCCUUCGGGUUGUAAAGCUCUCUUAAUCGGGACGAAAGGCCUUCUUGCGAAUAGU
rnacentral:rRNA from 1 species